GUGAGGAAUUUUCCGCAAUGGGCGAAAGCCUGACGGAGCAAUGCCGCGUGAAGGAUGAAGGCCUAUGGGUUGUAAACUUCUUUUCUCAGAAAAGAAUUAUGACGGUAUCUGAGGAAUAAGCAUCGGCUAACUCUGUGCCAGCAGCCGCGGUAAGACAGAGGAUGCAAGCGUUAUCCGGAAUGAUUGGGCGUAAAGCGUCUGUAGGUUGUUUAAAAAGUAUUCUGUCAAAGAUUAGGGCUUAACCCUAGAUAGGCAGAAUAAACUUUUAAGCUAGAGUAUGGUAGAGGCAGAGGGAAUUCCCGGUGGAGCGGUUAAAUGCGUAGAUAUCGGGAGGAACACCAAAGGCGAAGGCACUCUGCUGGGCCAAUACUAACACUGAGAGACGAAAGCGAGGGGAGCAAAUGGGAUUAGAAACCCUUGUAGUCC
rnacentral:rRNA from 1 species